GAUGAACGCUAGCGGCAGGCUUAACACAUGCAAGUCGAGGGGUAUAGUUCUUCGGAACUAGAGACCGGCGCACGGGUGCGUAACGCGUAUGCAAUCUACCUUUUGCAGAGGGAUAGCCCAGAGAAAUUUGGAUUAAUACCUCAUAGUAUGUGAGAAUGGCAUCAUUUUCACAUUAAAGUCACAACGACAAAAGAUGAGCAUGAGUCCCAUUAGCUUGUUGGUAAGGUAACGGCUUAACAAGGCAACGAUGGGUAGGGGUCCUGAGAGGGAGAUCCCCCACACUGGUACUGAGACACGGACCAGGCUCCUACGGGAGGCAGCAGUGAGGAAUAUUGGACAAUGGGCGCAAGCCUGAUCCAGCCAUGCCGCGUGCAGGAUGACGGUCCUAUGGAAUGUAAACUGCUUUUGUACAGGAAGAAACACUGGUUCGUGAACCAGCUUGACGGUACUGUAAGAAUAAGGAUCGGCUAACUCCGUGCCAGCCGCCGCUGUAAAAC
rnacentral:rRNA from 1 species